GAUGAACGCUGGCGGCGUGCCUAAUACAUGCAAGUCGAGCGAACGGACGAGAAGCUUGCUUCUCUGAUGUUAGCGGCGGACGGGUGAGUAACACGUGGAUAACCUACCUAUAAGACUGGGAUAACUUCGGGAAACCGGAGCUAAUACCGGAUAAUAUUUUGAACCGCAUGGUUCAAAAGUGAAAGACGGUCUUGCUGUCACUUAUAGAUGGAUCCGCGCUGCAUUAGCUAGUUGGUAAGGUAAAGGCUUACCAAGGAAACGAUGCCUAGCCGACCUGAGGGGGUAGCUGCCACCUUGGGACCUAAGCACCGUCCCAGCCUCCUAGGGGAGGCACAGGUAGGGACUUUUCCGAAAUGGGCGAAAGCCUGCGGGACCACCGCCGGGUGAGUGAUGAAGGCCUUCGGGUCGUAAAACUCUUUUCUUGUGAAAGAACAUUUUGGUAAGUACCUGUGCCCACUUUGCCGGUACCGAUCCAGAAAGCCCCGCUAACUUCCUU
rnacentral:rRNA from 1 species